GCCAUCUGGUCCUCGGAGCGGGGCGUCUCUGGGAGUGAGUGCAGGGCGGAAGCCAAGGGCCCAGCUGCGGAGGCCCCUCGGCCACGCUGUCCCUUCCUGUCCAGUGCCCAGGGGAGAGGGGGGACACUGUGCCUUUAAGCCCUGGGUGUCCCUCUGUCCCCGACGGCCACCGCUGAAAGUCAGGCACCGUCUGUGGCCCAUACGGAGCACACAGAAGGCAGUGUCCACGGUGAGGGUCUCCGCUCGGGUAAUCAUUGAAUGCACAAGGAGAUUGCAGACUCUAGUAACCUCAUGACACAGAAAUACAUAUAUAAAAUGUGCA